rnacentral:rRNA from 1 species
AUUGAACGCUGGCGGCAGGCCUAACACAUGCAAGUCGAGCGAGCGGCGGACGGGUGAGUAAUGUAUGGGGACUGCCCGAUAGAGGGGGCUCACUACUGGAAACGGUGGCUAAUACCGCAUACUAUCGGAUAACCCAUAUGGGAUUAGCUAGUAGGUGGGGUAAAGGCUCACAUAGGCGACGAUCUCUAGCUGGUCUGAGAGGAUGAUCAGCCAAACUGGGACUGAGACACGGCCCAGACUCCUACGGAGGAAGAAGUGGGGAAUAUUGCACAAGGGGCGCAAGCUGGAUGCAGCCAUGCCGGGUGUAUGAAGAAGGCCUUAGGGUGGUAAAGUACUUUCAGCGGGGAGGCGUUACCAGCAGAAGAAGCACCGGCUAACUCCGUGCCAGCAGCCGCGGUAAUU